UUUUUUCUUUUCUUUUUAAGAUUUAUUUUAUGCGAGUAUGCUAUAGAAGAGGGCAUCAGAUCCCAUUACAGAUGGUUGAGCCACUAGGUGGUUGCUGGGAAUUGAACACCAGAGCAGUCAGUGCUCUUCCCAUUGAGCCAUCUUCCCAGCCCUGACUGUCCUGAAGUCCAGGCUAGACUUGAACUCUAUCUACCUGUCCCUGCCUCCCAAGUACUGGUUCUACAGACAUGCACCACCACUGCACAGGCUUUACUCUUAUUUUGAAGAGGAUAUAUCUCUCAUAGAAAUUACAAAUAAAUUCCCAUACAUCCACCUCCUCUGAGAGCCUCUGAGUCUAAUAAAUUUUUGCUUCUUCCAAGUAACCCUGGGGUACAGGUGCACGAUUUGUCUCCGAGGGCUUUUUGUUUUGUUUUGGUCUUGUCUUUUUGUAUGUAUACAUGUUUAUGUUCACAUGUGUGUGGGGGUGUGCUUGUCAUGAGUGGACCUCUGGGGUGUCUUCCAGUCACACUUCACUUUCUUGAGGCUUGGUCUCUCGCUGAAUCUGGAGCUUGGUGAUUCCUUUAUGGAUUCUAGGAAACUGACUCUAGCUGUUAACCUUGUGUGGCAAGCAUUUUAUUCAGUAACGCAGAACCCUAACAUUGUAUUUUACUGAGUAGCAUUGGGGAACUCACAGCAGUCUACAUGUCUCUACUUCCUGAGAGCUGAGAUUUCAG
rnacentral:lncRNA from 1 species